rnacentral:misc_RNA from 1 species
CGAGUCUCAGUAGAACCACCA